AUGCACGCUGGCGGCGUGCCUAAUACAUGCAAGUCGAGCGAACAGACGAGGAGCUUUCUCCUCUGACGUUAGCGGCGGACGGGUGAGUAACACGUGGAUAACCUACCUAUAAGACUGGGAUAACUUCGGGAAACCGGAGCUAAUACCGGAUAAUAUAUUGAACCGCAUGGUUCAAUAGUGAAAGACGGUUUUGCUGUCACUUAUAGAUGGAUCCGCGCCGCAUUAGCUAGUUGGUAAGGUAACGGCUUACCAAGGCAACGAUGCGUAGCCGACCUGAGAGGGUGAUCGGCCACACUGGAACUGAGACACGGUCCAGACUCCUACGGGAGGCAGCAGUAGGGAAUCUUCCGCAAUGGGCGAAAGCUUGACGGAGCAACGCCGCGUGAGUGAUGAAGGUCUUCGGAUCGUAAAACUCUGUUAUUAGGGAAGAACAAAUGUGUAAGUAACUAUGCACGUCUUGACGGUACCUAAUCAGAAAGCCACGGCUAACUACGUG
rnacentral:rRNA from 1 species